rnacentral:rRNA from 1 species
GAUGAACGCUGGCGGCGUGCUUAACACAUGCAAGUCGAACGGAGGACCCCUGAAGGAGUUUUCGGACAACUGAAGGGAAUCCUUAGUGGCGGACGGGUGAGUAACGCGUGAGUAACCUGCCUUGGAGUGGGGAAUAACAGCUGGAAACAGCUGCUAAUACCGCAUAAUAUAUCUGGGUCGCAUGGCUCUGGAUAUCAAAGAUUUAUCGCUCUGAGAUGGACUCGCGUCUGAUUAGCUGGUUGGCGGGGUAACGGCCCACCAAGGCGACGAUCAGUAGCCGGACUGAGAGGUUGGCCGGCCACAUUGGGACUGAGACACGGCCCAG